UCCCAUGUUUCACAGAACCUGUGUACAAAUUAGGGGCACCAACAUCUGCUUCCUUGUUGUUUGAUACUGUACUAAAAGAAGUCAAGGGACACAGAGGGGGACUUCACUUACUCUGUUGGACCACUACAGAAAGCAUUGCAAAGAGUAACAAUGUUCCCCCAGGGCAUGUCUAGAGGGCUCCAAGGGUAGGUUUCAUCUACCCCUGUGGAUUUGGGCCAUGCUGCCCAGCCAACACAAGGAUGCCUGAACCAGUCCAGAACACCUUCAGUCCCUGAAGAGAUUUUCAGCGGUUUCAUCGUGUGCAUUUGGCAAGUUUAUUAAUUCAGUUGCAGCUACUGUCUCUUCAUGAGGAUAGGGUGGGAGUGAUAAGCUCAAAAAGAGCUGCCUGAUUAGAACUGAACACAUUUCUGUAACCAAGGAAUUCCCCUGGAUUUAUGAGAAACAGUAGUGUCUCCCAUCACUCAGGAAAUCAAAAGGUUUCAGAGUUCAGGAUCAGGAUACAGGAUCAAAGAUUUAGAAUUUCAAAGGCAAAAAAAAAAAAAAAAAA
rnacentral:lncRNA from 1 species